GGAAUCCCUGAAUAUACCCCAGUUUCAGGACAUAGUGCUAACAUGGAUUAGCGGAUACGCCGCAUUGGCGCUUACCCCACUCUCUUCUUGUCAGACUGGCCAACUUUUCAUGAUGGGCUACCCAUUCAACCUUUAUUAACAAUAAAUUGUAAUAAAUUCCACAGAAAAAUACAAUAGGAGAAUAGAAGUUUUCUAAAUUUCUUCAAACUUCAAAUUUGAUCACCUGACAAGAAAACGAAACGUAAAAUUUAAUUUUCACUGAAUUCUACAUUCCGUUUACAGUCGACAGACGUUCGGUAAUCGUUUGCAUGCGUUUUUAUAAAGCAAAACAAAACAGCUGACACGUUUUCCUACAUUUACGAUAUAUUUACGAGAGCAUUACCAGACCUUAAGCCUCUUAAAUGAAAUAUGUAUUAUGAGUAAUCGUAGGCUAGAUAUUUACAAAAAUUGUAAAAAGUCCAGAAAAUCUCCCCCUAUUUUAAGAUACUUACCAAUGUCAAAUUUAAAAGCGUCUUUGCCUCUUCUUUCGAAAGCUAAUUUGUUUUUU
rnacentral:sRNA from 1 species